UCUGUAAGGACCCAGACAGAGAAUAUUUUGGUACUGGCAAACUUCUCCCAAACAUGCUGUCUUCCCAACGAUCCAGUAAAUCUCACUUCUUAGGAAGUUUACAAUCUUAUUUGAUCUUACAAAUUCAGAGGAUUGUUUCAUAGAAAACACCAUGGACAGAGCUGGAACAAGACCACAAGUUUUCUAGUCUCCAAAUACAUUGCUGGAACAGAGUUUACUCUUCUUCUAAUCUUCCCAACCCAGGAAUAGCUAUGGGCAAGUGAAUCUGGCUUAUGGUCUGGUGGUCUAACUCAGGCACCUUGCUCUGCCUGCCCAUAUGGUUGUGGUCUGGAUCUGUGUGGGAGCUAGUACUAUCCUAGAUUAACAUGCUUUUUUAGCCUAAGGGGAAAGUCAAGUGAAAGUAAAAUUAUGCAAAUCCACUGCAAUGGAAAUUUAAAUUACAGACUAGUGAAGAAAUCUGAAUUGCCUUUUAGUAGGACAGGAUUUUUUUUUUUUUUUUUCAGAAGCUUUCUCACAGGCAAAAAGCUCUCAGACCAAGACUCUAGACUUGUGCAAACCUAUUAGAACCACUUCACAUUUCCUUGACAAUCCCAACUGUGCGAUUCCUAAAAGCCUUGCUCACAUUUUCUAUACACUUCUAAAAGGCUUUCCACACCUUAUUAUUCACCCAUUGCACAGAUUUUGUUGGAUACUUAGUCUCUGUAGACCAGAGAGAACCUUUCAGAAGUAAAACUGGUUGUACCAUGUUAAUUUAAUUUGCUGAAUGUACUAAUAAUUCAACUAUGAAGCCUCAAUAAGGAUUCUAAACGAAAUCUCAUUCUUCGUCCUGUACCACUAUUAGAUUGGUCAGAAUUUCAAGUGGUUAAGCAACCGUGAAGCUGGCUGAACACUUCUCAUUGUCAAACAGAACUGUGUAUUCCAAAGCAGGCAGGGGUUUUGUGCAGGGAUUUGCAGAAAAUCAGGUCAACUGAUUAGCACUCAAGCCCAUGCUCUGUCACAUACUCUUAGGCAGUACACCCUCAACAGCUCUGUAGUACCUUCACUGGCCUUCUGAGUGUCCUCUUUACUGUCACCAAGAGCUGCUGCUGCUUUUCCAGAUGCUGGCUCCUCCUUGCUUUUCUCUUUGCUCUCAUACAUCUUACGAAUCACUGAGGUAGGGGUGAAGGAAGGAGAAAGCUGCAGAGAAAAACAGUAUUAGCACAUUCUCUAACUGCCUUUCCUAAUCAAGCCAGAGUUAAUUGGUCAAACUGGAGUCCCUUUAUUGGCUACACGUGCAGAGGCCAACUCCAAUGUUCUGGUGUUUACCCGCUAGAGGAAAAGAAACAGGUGGGCCAUAUGGGUGGUGUCCCAAGUGCAUCACCCUUGCUCACAUCUCACUUUCACCAAAACCUAGACUUAGCUCUAGCACAAAGGUAGUUAAAGCAUAGAACUUCAACCUACCCGUCUGUGUCUGUGGUGAUAGGGACCUACCUAUGCAACCUCUGCUUCAGCCAUUUUCCCAGCCUGGGAUUAGGCUGAGAACAGGGGAAGAACAUGGCCAGAAGUAUACUCUAGAGCAAGAGCCCUGUCAACUGGGAAAGGAUAAUUCAGAGACAACCUCAGAACCUAAAUUCCUCUAUAGUCUUAAUUAUAUCCCAUCUUAACUUGGCUACCAGGAAAUUCACAAUUAUCUUAAUAAUCUCCUCAGGCCCUAGGACUCACCAUUUGGGGUCAUUUUCUUCCUCAUCUCUUCACUGCCUAUUUUUACUUUGAUGAUUUUACUGUGCAUGUGACUUUUCUCAUUAACCCUAAAUCCUUGAUAGUAGGAGACAGGGCAUGAAUUAUGAACACAAGAGCCCCUUCUAGUAAUGCAGAGACCCAUUUGGGGUCCUGAAGCAGAGUAAUAGUUUUUCCCUUUGUCUAUCAGCUUUAACUAGAUGAUAAAGAUCUUUGGGGGAUAAAACUUAAAAAAAAAAAAAAAAAAAUGCUGGUACAUGAAUGAGUCAGUGGUAAAACUAGAUUUAUCGUCAUAAAGAAGCAAACUCCUUUGUCCUAGCCCUAAUUCAUAUCACUGAGACCUGAAUCUGAAUUUGUGAAGUCUCCACUAUGUUUCAUUGGACUCCUCAUGGUCCAAUCCCAUUCACCCCUCCAUCUCACCUAUCUUUGGCCCCUAUCCUCCCCUUCUCCCCAAUCCAACUGUUCAUUUGUUUGAACACACUACAUUACCUUAUAUGUUGUAGAUCAUACUCCUCUAUCUGCUGGAACAAACUUUCCCCAAUGUAGGGGCUUCACUAGAAUCUUAAGAGUUAGACUGUAUCCUGAAAGGGGAAGACCUAAUAAAUAAGCAAGUGUGAAA